CCCCGCGCUGCACACACUGCAUUGGAAUGAACUGCGGUGACCCUGCCCCACAGAGAUCCGGCUCCAGUUUCCCCGCUGGCAGUCAGUUAUUCCAUCCAGAUGCCUGUGAAGUGUGCUGGACGCGCUGGGCUCCUGCCUCAUGAAUCAGGGAGUGGGGCCUCGGGAGGGAUGCACCCCCCCUUCCUGGGAACGACCUGGGACUUGUUCCAGGUGCUUUUCCCACCCCCGCAGGGGAGGGGCGACGGGCUGUGGUGGGGGCUGUGGGGAGGCUGGGACCCCUCCCUGGCCUUCCCCCCUCACCCCAGGGGCCCAGGAUCAGGAGGACCCAGGAGGGACCCUGUGCCAACCUAGGGACCACGAGGCCCUGGCCAGCAGAGGGCUCCCCCAUGGGCCAAGUGCUCAGCAGUGGCCAGAGGCAGGGCAGCCCUGGGGGUAUGAAGGGCCUGGUCACCUUGGGCCCCCUGACCCUCAGGAGCUGAGGGUCCCCAUGCAGGGCCCGUGGGCGUGAUGUGAUGUGAGCUGUCACUCUCCACUCCCUCUCCCACACCUCCAUCCUGGACCUUGGGCUGUCACUCUCCACUCCCUGUCCCCACACCUCCAUCCUGGACCUUGGGCUGUCACUCUCCACUCCCCCUCCCACACCUCCAUCCAGGACCUUGGGCUGUCCCUCUCCACUCCCUCCCCCACACCUCCAUCCUGGACCUUGGGCUGUCACUCUCCCCUCCCUCUCCCACACCUCCAUCCAGGACCUUGGGCUGUCACUCUCCCCUCCCUCUCCCACACCUCCAUCCAGGACCUUGGGCUGUCCCUCUCCACUCCCUCCCCCACACCUCCAUCCUGGACCUUGGGCUGUCACUCUCCACUCCCCCUCCCACACCUCCAUCCAGGACCUUGGGCUGUCCCUCUCCACUCCCUCCCCCACACCUCCAUCCUGGACCUUGGGCUGUCACUCCCCACCCCCUGUCCCCACACCUCCAUCCUGGACCUUGGGCUGUCACUCCCCACCCCCUGUCCCCACACCUCCAUCCUGGACCUUGGGCUGUCACUCUCCACUCCCUCCCCACACCUCCAUCCAGGACCUUGGGCUGUCACUCUCCACUCCCCCUCCCACACCUCCAUCCAGGACCUUGGGCUGUCACUCUCCACUCCCUGUCCCCACCCCUCCAUCCUGGACCUUGGGCUGUCACUCUCCACUCCCUCCCCCACACCUCCAUCCUGAACCUUGGGCUGUCACUCUCCACUCCCUCUCCCACACCUCCAUCCUGGACCUUGGGCUGUCACUCCCCACCCCCUGUCCCCACACCUCCAUCCUGGACCUUGGGCUGUCCCUCUCCACUCCCUCUCCCACCCCUCCAUCCAGGACCUUGGGCUGUCACUCUCCACUCCCUCCCCCACACCUCCAUCCUGGACCUUGGGAUGCUUCCCGAGGCACCCCACCCACGGCCCUGCCCCGUCACCUCCUCUUGGCUGCCCCUCGGGCUCCUCUCCACAGGGCAGCCACAGGGACACCAUGGGAGAGCUGUCCAGACCUCCCUGCCAGCUGCUUCCCCGGGCUCCCGAGUCAGCGUCUGAGCCACACCCCCAGGCUGCACAGCCCCCACCCCACUGCAGGGCCAGGCCAACAGGGACGGGCUGAGGCCACGCACUCUGGUUAUCUCGGCGCCACCCCGGGCCACCGUGUGACACACUCACCAGCUGGAGGGCACAACACUGACUGCCCGCUGAGGCCUCGUUCCCACGCUCCUUCUGCCCAGCUCACCCUGCCAGGCAGACGCGCACCCUCUGCACACAGCCCUGUGGCAGCAGAGCAUUCCUAGUCCCUCAGUGAGGCCACCUGAGGGCUCCCAGAUCUGGGGGGACUGGACGUGCCCCUGAGGGCUCCCCGUGCAGAGGCCUCGGUGAGCGGGGUCCCUGGCCUCCUGCUCACCCUUCAGGACACCGCAGGCUCCACCCAGCUGUUCUCAGAUGAGCCCAGAGCCCAGAGCCACCACAGGCUGGGAGGACUUGGCCUGGCUUCAAAUAUAACUCUGGAAUUUUAAGAGCAAUGUGCUAUUUAGGUUAACGUGGGCCACAGCCCAUUUCCCUCCCCAAACCAAGGUCCAGGAGGCCCACUCAUCCCAGCUAAGGGUGUGUCUGUAAGAGCGACCACAAGCCAGAGUUGUGACACAGGCUAGUGUCACAAAGGCUAGUGCCCUGGGGGCCUGGGGGAGGGGCUGGGAGGACCUGGGGCGACCCUAGGGGUGAGGUCUGGACCCAUCCCCAGGAGCAGAGCCCUGGGCACAGCGAGGAGUCAAGACAAGCAGGCAGGGCCCUGGGACCAGGCGAGAGGCUCCAUCCUGAGCCUUGGCCGGCCCCUCACCUGGGGGAACCCCGCCCCCGAGCCUGCUCCUGGUGCAUCAGUGGUGGCCUUGCCUGGUGGAGCCGGCCCACCGUGAGGUACCCAAGCUCCUCAGGGAGCAGCUGUGAGU
rnacentral:lncRNA from 1 species